rnacentral:rRNA from 1 species
GAUGAACGCUGGCGGCGUGCCUAAUACAUGCAAGUCGAGCGAACAGAUGAGGAGCUUGCUCCUCUGGCGUUAGCGGCGGACGGGUGAGUAACACGUGGAUAACCUACCUAUAAGGCUGGGAUAACUACGGGAAACCGGAGCUAAUACCGGAUAAUAUAUUGAACCGCAUGGUUCAAUAGUGAAAGACGGUUUUGCUGUCACUUAUAGAUGGAUCCGCGCCGCAUUAGCUAGUUGGUAAGGUAACGGCUUACCAAGGCAACGAUGCGUAGCCGACCUGAGAGGGUGAUCGGCCACACUGGAACUGAGACACGGUCCAGACUCCUACGGGAGGCAGCAGUAGGGAAUCUUCCGCAAUGGGCGAAAGCCUGACGGAGCAACGCCGCGUGAGUGAUGAAGGUCUUCGGAUCGUAAAACUCUGUUAUUAGGGAAGAACAAAUGUGUAAGUAACUAUGCACGUCUUGACGGUACCUAAUCAGAAAGCCACGGCUAACUACGUG